CCCAGUUAUUUUUUUUAUAAAGAAAUUCAUUUUUAUCAUUCCGCCAUUAAUACGGAGAAAAGUAAAUAUUUGGUAACACUGAAAAUUUGGGGUGUUACACUCAAUAUGGUUGAGUCAGGUACUAAAAGUUCUGUGUAAAGUCAGAAUAUUAAUAAAAGCAAAGAGAUCCUAUAACAUCUAUUUUCCUUUUCGUGAAGCAAGCUUAUGGGGACACUAGUCAAAUCUCCAAUAAAUGAGUCUUCAAUGAUUUAUAAACCAUCGCCAACAAAUGAUACUCAUUUCUAGGUUCUCAUCAGUCCAUCAACAUCUAUUUAAUUACGAAGGCCACAAAAUGGCCUUCGUCAUUG
rnacentral:lncRNA from 1 species